CAACAUAGAAUUGCCUUUACGAGG
rnacentral:siRNA from 1 species